AUGGACAGGGAGGCCUGACGUGCUGCGAUUCAUGGGGUCGCAAAGAGUUGAACAGGACUGAGCGACUGAACUGAACUGAACUGAACCCCUCAGUUCUCGCCGUACACCCGCCGCACCGCAAACACGCGCCGGCUGAGGGGCGGGGGCCAAGGCCGGAAGGGGCGGGGCCAGGCCUGGAGCGUCGGAGCGCCAACCCAGGCCCCCGCGCUUUCUUUUCCGCUUGGCCGCCGGAGAAGGAAGGGCUCUGAGGCUCCGUCUGCCUUACGGGCGUGGCGGCAACGCCCGCGGACACGUCUCCCCGCUCUUCCAGGGGGGAAGGCCUGGCGAAGUUAGGUCAUUUUAUUAUUUCUCCCGGGAACCCGACUCCGUGCCAGAGUCUAUAGGUCGGCCUCGGGCCCCUCCGUCUUGUGUGUCCUGCCCCGGGAUCCCCAUCCCGGUGGCCUCCGUCCAUUGCUGGGCACAGCCCAGCGGUCGGCGCGGCCUCGGCCUCCAAGUCAUCCCAGGAGGCCAUCUUCCCCUCCCCCACCCGGUUGACGCCGCCUCGAGCUCUCCUCCGUGCCUUCUGCUCAAUCGCAUUUUCUUGUGCUUCUUCCAGUCCUUUAGAGGUGCGUUAAACAGCGGAAGAUUACUCCACUUGUUAGUGUUUUUUAUUAAAAGUUGAUUGCGAGUCAGAAAGAUUGUAAGUUUUUCUUUUUUUUUCUUAAAUGGUUCUUGAUGAGUAUGGGGAAAAGAGCCUACUUGUCCAUACUAGAUAUAAGAUGCCAAACAGAUAAAAGUGCAAAUGAGAAUUCACGAUGAAAUAUAUGUAAUUUCNNNNNNNNNNNNNNNNNNNNNNNNNNNNNNGAAGAUCAUUGUGAUAAAUGUUUUCCAAAAACCUGUCACAGAAGAUGGCUGUGAAAAUACCAGGAGGAUUGCUGCACAUGUAACAAGGUACCAAAAGUUAUAAUGUUAAGUCGUGUGCUUUUUGUGUGUGUGUGUAUGGUAUUGUUCCUGAGGCACAAUACCAAAAUAUUUAAUAACUGGCACAGUGAUGACAAAUUACUUUUUGCCGUUUACCCAGCUGAGGGUAUCUUUGAAGAAAUAACUUUAAGACUGAGAUGCCAGUAAUAUAUAUUAUGUGAAUUACUCAAAUCUAAUGCAGUUUUUUAUUUAAAAGGUUGAACUGUUCUUUUCAGCAGAUAAGUACCUGCAAAUGAAUGUUCAAGUGCUUAGCAGUGGUGCUUAAAAACUUCAUUACCUCAAGUAAGUGAUUAUGAUUUGUCACGCAGCCACAUCUGUUGACAAUUUGAAAGUAUCUGAUAAACUCCAAAAAGCUGAGGCCAUUUCCUUUCCUGUUUA
rnacentral:lncRNA from 1 species